GUUGAAUGCUGACAGAAUGCUUAACACAUCAGCAAUUGAUUGGUGGCGGACGGGUGAGUAACGCGUAAAGAACUUGCCUCACAGCUAGGGACAACAUUUAGAAAUGAAUGCUAAUACCUGAUACUGUGAGAGAGCUUUGCGUCCCAUUAGCUAGGUGGAGAGGUAACAGCUCACCAAGGCGAUGAAGGGUAGCCGGCCUGAGAGGGUGAACGGCCACAAGGGGAGUGAGACACGGCGAUUACUGCUACGUGAGGCAGGAGUUGGGAAUAUUGGACAAUGGACCGAAGUCUGAACCAGCAAUUCUGUGUGCACGAUGAAGUUUUCGGAAUGUAAAGUGCUUUCAGUUGGGAAGCGGUACCAACAGAAGAAGUGACGGCUAAAUACGUGCCAGCAGCCGCGGUAAUAC
rnacentral:rRNA from 1 species